rnacentral:rRNA from 1 species
UACGUAGGGGGCAAGCGUUGUCCGGAUUUAUUGGGCGUAAAGAGCUCGUAGGUGGUUCGGUAAGUCGGAUGUGAAAUCUCCAGGCUCAACCUGGAGGGGUCAUUCGAUACUGCCGUGACUAGAGUUCGGUAGGGGAGUCUGGAAUUCCUGGUGUAGCGGUGAAAUGCGCAGAUAUCAGGAGGAACACCGGUGGCGAAGGCGGGACUCUGGGCCGAUACUGACGCUGAGGAGCGAAAGCGUGGGGAGCAAACAGG